rnacentral:rRNA from 1 species
GACGGGGAGGUUUGGCACCUCGAUGUCGGCUCAUCGCAUCCUGGGGCUGUAGUCGGUCCCAAGGGUUGGGCUGUUCGCCCAUUAAAGCGGUACGCGAGCUGGGUUCAGAACGUCGUGAGACAGUUCGGUCCCUAUCCGUCGUGGGCGUAGGAAAUUUGAGAGGAGCUGUCCUUAGUACGAGAGGACCGGGAUGGACAUACCUCUGGUGUACCAGUUGUCGUGCCAACGGCAUAGCUGGGUAGCUAUGUAUGGACGGGAUAAGUGCUGAAAGCAUCUAAGCAUGAAGCCCCCCUCGAGAUGAGAUUUCCCAACUUCGGUUAUAAGAUCCCUCAAAGAUGAUGAGGUGAAUAGGUUCGAGGUGGAAGCGUAGCGAUACGUGGAGCUGACGAAUACUAAUCGAUCGAAGACUUAAUCAACAU